AAAAGCUGGCAAUACACCCUGAACACACCCACUCUUGGAAGCUCAGCAAGGUGGGUCUUCGUACUCAGAUGGGAGAUAAGGUAAGAAAGCUGUCGUCUCCG
rnacentral:rRNA from 1 species